UGAGGUGACCGGGUGGUCGCGGCACGACGGUUCGUCGACGUGUCGAGGAAAGUCGGGGCUCCACCGGGCAGAGUGCUGGCGCGAGCCAGGUCGGGGCGACCUGACGGACGUGCAACAGAGAGAGACCGCCGAUGGAAUCGUUCGCCUUUCGAGGUGAACGGUUCACAGGCAAGGCUGAAACGGUGCGGUAAGAGCGCACCAGCGGCGUCGGUGACGGCGUCGGCUCGGUAAACCCCACUCGGAGCAAGGUCGAGCAGGAAGAUGGGCGGCCCGUCCGUUUCUUCCGGGUAGACCGCACAGAUGGAUGGCCACCGGGCGCCGGACUUCGGUCCGACACCUACAGAACCCCGCUUACAGGCCACCUCGCCAU
rfam:Ilumatobacter coccineus YM16-304 DNA, complete genome.